GAACUCUAUUAAACGGUCGCGCGGUAUGUUGCCGAAAGGUAUUACCGUGAGGAAAGUCCGGGCUUCAUAGGGCAGGGUAACUGAUAACGUCAGUCGGAGGCGACUCCCGGGAAAGUGCAACAGAAAUAUACCGCCCGUAAGGGUAAGGAUGGAAAGGCGAGGUAAGAGCUCACCCACUCCUACGGUAACGUAGGUUUGCUGUAAACCCUAUCCGAAGCAACACCGUAGUCGGAUGUUUGCCCGACGUAUAUCCGCAGGUGGCAGAAGGCUUUUGCCUUCGAGCUUUACGGUGACGUAAAGCAAAGAUAGAUGACCGUUCACGACAGAACCCGGCUUACAGAUAGAGUUCAAAG
rnacentral:RNase_P_RNA from 1 species